rnacentral:rRNA from 1 species
AGUGAACGCUGGCGGUAGGCCUAACGCAUGCAAGUCGAACGGCAGCACAGUAAGAGCUUGCUCUCACGGGUGGCGCGUGGCGGACGGGUGAGGUAUACAUCGGAAUCCACUUUUUCGUGGGGGCUAACGUAGGGAAACUUAUGCUAAUACCGCAUACGACGUCCGGGGGUAAGCAGGGGUUCGUCGGACCUUUCGCGAUUGAAAGAGCCGAUGUCGGAUUAGCUAGGUGGCGGGUUAAAGGCCCACCAAGGCGACGAUCCGUAGCAGGUCUGAGAGGGUGGUCAGCCACACUGGAUCUGAGACACGGUCCAGACUCCUACGGGAGGUAGCGGUGGGGAAUAUUGGACAAUGGGCGCAAGCCUGAUCCAGCCAUACCGCGUAAGUGAAGAAGGCCUUCGGGUUGUAAAGCCCUUUUGUUGGGAAAGAAGAGCAGCAGGUUUAUACCCCGCUGUUCUGACGGUACCCGAAGAAUAAGCACCGGCUAACUUCGUG